UGGCUUAUAUAAAAAUACUCCAUAACACUUCUUUACAAGCUCAAAACCUAACUUCACUGGUUUUUUUUCCGCAGGAAGACCAUUUAGGAACCACAAGGAAGCCAUAAAAUAAGGCAAUCAAGACCCAGCUUCUUAAAGUUAGAAAAAUGACAAAACUGGUUUCAAGACUCAAAAGCUUCUGAGCUACUGUGGAAAUUUCCUACCACAGAUCUGAGAAGGCAGUAACUCACUAAACUACAGCUUCCGUGUGGCGUCUGAGUCUGAAGUGUGGUGGGAUUUGAUCUUUUCAGUCCAUAUGAGGGCCCACUAGAAAACCCACCAUCUGCAACCUGGAACAAGUUCUGCACAGCAUCUUCUCCUCAUGCAUGGAAAUAGUGCCUCCCAUUCAGCACAUGCUUUUCAGCACAUCUGAGGUACAACAUAUGAUUUCCACGCUAGCAGUCCUGUCCCUGAAGGAAACUGCUGUGGAGCAGGCACCCCAAAGGAGAUUGUGAAGAGAAGGUGGUCCUAGGCUUGCGCUAUGUUCUGUCUUGGUAAACAGCAAAGCUAAAGCAGUAAUCAUCAGACCGUGCAAACCUAUGAACAGCCUGUUGAGCAGCUUUGCAAAUGACUUGGCUGCCUUGAGCAAAUCUCUUUCUAAUGUCAAGAAGAGACCAACCUCACACUCACUCAUGCUACACCUCAAGAAUGGAGCACCUUCAGCCUGAGGACUUCAAGGCACCGAAUAAAAGCUGCCACAUUUGGAAUACCCACGGAGGAAUGUAAUAAGAAAGUCAACAGCAGAUGAAUCCACCGAGGUCUGCCUUGGCUGAUGUUUAUAGCUCGCCAUGGUGAUCCUCUAGCUGAAGGUUCUCUGCUUCUUAUGCAUCUCAGGAUUGAUGCUGUGUUAACUGCUUUCCUACUGCUCAUCUGCUCAUCAGCCAAAGUACUUCACUGCUGCUCAGAAGGCAAGUUCAGGUUUGGGAACAGUUCUUUGUUAUGCUCACUUAUUUUUGCUUUUUCAAAAGCACUGCACUUGUCCAUGAAAUCUGUGCUCUGAUCAGAGGUUUCCUUCACUUUCUACACUCCUGGCUGGUUAUUUGUGGGUUUGCAGAGGGCAACAGACGCUUGAAAUUUGUUAGAGGCAGUAAGGAUGCUCAUGGUUUCUGGAUUUCGGAUGUUUUGUUAACAGUCAUCUCAGUAAACAUAAUGAUACCCACACUGUGAACACACAAGUGUGCUCUCAAGUGCCUUCCAUUAAUCAUUUCUGCUCUCAGGAAAAUCAUUUUAAUCCUUUCCACCUUUA